rnacentral:rRNA from 1 species
AGUGAACGCUGGCGGCAGGCCUAACACAUGCAAGUCGAGCGGCAGCGGGUCCUUCGGGCUGCCGGCGAGCGGCGGACGGGCGAGGAAUGCGUCGGAAUCUGCCUUUUUGUGGGGGAUAACGUAGCGAAACUUACGCUAAUACCGCAUACGACCUACGGGUGAAAGUGGGGGACCGCAAGGCCACACGCAGAAAGAUGAGCCGACGACGGAUUAGCUAGUUGGCGGGGUAAAGGCCCACCAAGGCGACGAUCCGUAGCUGGUCUGAGUGGAUGAUCAGCCACACUGGAACUGGGACACGGUCCAGGCUCCUACGGGAGGCAGCAGUGGGGAAUAUUGGACAAUGGGCGCAAGCCUGAUCCAGCCAUGCCGCGUGUGUGGAGAAGGCCUUCGGGUUGGAAAGCACUUUUGUCCGGAAAGAAAUCCUGGCGGCUAAUACCCGGCGGGGAUGACGGUACCGUAAGAAUAAGCACCGGCUAACUUCGUG